rnacentral:rRNA from 1 species
UACGGGGGGGGCAAGCGUUGUUCGGAAUUACUGGGCGUAAAGGGCUCGUAGGUGGCCAACUAAGUCAGACGUGAAAUCCCUCGGCUUAACCGGGGAACUGCGUCUGAUACUGGAUGGCUUGAGUUCGGGAGAGGGAUGCGGAAUUCCAGGUGUAGCGGUGAAAUGCGUAGAUAUCUGGAGGAACACCGGUGGCGAAGGCAGCUCGCUGGGACGUUACUGGCACUGAGGCGCGAAAGCGUGGGGAGCGAACAGG